rnacentral:rRNA from 1 species
GACGAACGCUGGCGGCGUGCUUAACACAUGCAAGUCGAACGGAAAGGCCCUGCUUUUGUGGGGUGCUCGAGUGGCGAACGGGUGAGUAACACGUGAGUAACCUGCCCUUGACUUUGGGAUAACUUCAGGAAACUGGGGCUAAUACCGGAUAGGAGCUCCUGCUGCAUGGUGGGGGUUGGAAAGUUUCGGCGGUUGGGGAUGGACUCGCGGCUUAUCAGCUUGUUGGUGGGGUAGUGGCUUACCAAGGCUUUGACGGGUAGCCGGCCUGAGAGGGUGACCGGCGACAUUGGUACUGAGAUACGGCGCAGACUGCAACGGGAGGCAGCGGUGGGGAAUAUUGCACAAUGGGGGGAAGCCUGAUGCGGCGACGCCGCGUGCGGGAUGACGGCCUUCGGGGUGUAAACCGCUUUCGCCUGUGACGAAGCGUGAGUGACGGUAAUGGGUAAAGAAGCACCGGCUAACUACGUG